UGCAUGGGGACAUCAGCAGCGUUUGCGGGGCUUACAACAGUGUCGGUAGUUUUGGCGAAUGUUGUUUGUUUUGGCCGGGACGCCGGUAUACCGUGUUCUCCUUUGGGCCUCCCGCAACCGUAGCGACGGCUCGUUUGGCAUGCUGCUCGUUUUUCACUGGGACUUGCAAUCCGGCAUUGCGGGAGUUACCGUCCCUCGUCGGUUCCCGGACACCGGCGUCUGGACUAAUGCCGCUGUACCAUCGUUUCUAAAUAAAACUACCUGAACCCAACAAGCCACCGCUGCGCCUUUGGUGGCUACGGAGCCCAAGAGGAGAUCCUCAGUGUCGGUCACCCAGUGCACUACAGCGGACCAGCUGGAAGGUGGCCACAGCUUGAGUGAUGUCACAGCAACCUGCAGGGGCCUGGCAGGGCACAGGGGGUCGGAGACUGGCGAGACCAGCGACCCUGCCGAUACACCGUCUGCAAUCUCCGCCUAAACAAAGCCAGUUUUCCACUCCUGCAGGCUCUCGGGGGUGUCGGACCAGGCAGCAGAGCUCAGCUCUUGCCCUCAAAGUAUGGAGCACAUGCCUCUGUGAAUCCACAGGUCUGACUUCCCUCUCAGUAGCACAGCUUUGGAGCCCCAACACACAGAGUGUGGUGACACACAGCGACCACACACUCACACCGAGAGCAGCACAGGUGUGUGGGCAGAGGGAAGCUUCCCUGGAGCAGCACUACCACUGAUAUCCUGUUACGAGCAAAUAUUCAGCGCCGGUGGCCUUUGGACCUCCUUCUAACAGGUUCUCUGUUAGACCACACCCCUUCAAGAAUUUUCAUAAGGAGCCAACCAAUCAGAAUACGUAUAGCUUCAACAAUGGCAGUGACAGAAUGUUCUGUGUGAUGCACAUCAGGAUGGUCUAGUCCAUAUGUAAAAAACCUGUGGUAUUAAAGAUCUGCACUUUAUGUUAUCCAGAUACUCACCUUUGAAUUAGACGUGUGUCAUACAUGCUGAAGAAAAAGUAAAACGUGAAACACAGUUAAUGUGGGAAGUGCUGGGGGUCUUUGGGACUUUUGGCAAGGGAGGGAUAUUCCAUCAGUAAUGCGCACAAAGA